UCGUUUCCUAACUGAAUUUAAACUCAUUCCCAGACCGCUUGUCCCCCUCAAGUGAUGUACACUGAAGAAAGAGCCUCCUUCAGGCUGUGAGGUCUUCCUAUAAUCCUGAACAAUCAUUUCCCAUCAUGAGACUGCUGUACCUUCUCCUUCUCUUUCUCGGAUGUCUGAUACAAACAGCCUCAGGAUAUGAAAGAAAGGAUGUAUUCCUUGAAUGUGAACACAUGGGUGGUGCCUGCAGGCACCAAAAAACCCACGGAUGCUCUAUCCUGCCUGCACUGUGCAAAAGCCGGCACAAACACUGCUGCAGGCUGUAGCUGCAACAGCCAGAGGGGCCACAGGGUAGUCCAGGAGAACCACGGCCCCUGACUUCUGCUGAAUAAAGCCGUCACCACCCAUGGGA